rnacentral:rRNA from 1 species
GACGAACGCUGGCGGCGUGCUUAACACAUGCAAGUCGAGCGGAAAGGCCCUUCGGGGUACUCGAUCGGCGAACCGGUGAGUAAGACGUGAGUAACCUGCCCCACACUUUGUGAUAACCCUCGGAAACGGGGGCUAAUACCGUAAACGCCACAGCUUUGCUUAGGGUCUUUGUUCAAAGUUUUUAGGUUUUGGAUGGGCUCCUGGCCAAUCAGCUUGUUGUUGGUUGGAUGGCCUACGAAGGCGACGACGGGUAGCCGGCCUGAGAGGGCGACCGGCCACACUAGGACUGAGACACGGCACAGACUCCAACGGGAGGCAGAAGUGGGGAAUAUUACACAGCGGGCGGAAGCCUGAUGCAACGACGCCGCGUGAGGGAUGACGGCCUUCGAGUUGUAAACCUAUUUCAACGGGGACGAGGCGUAAGUGACGGUACCUGAAGAGGAAGCGCCGGCCAACUACGUG